AUUGAACGCUGGCGGCAUGCCUUACACAUGCAAGUCGAACGGUAACAGGUCUUCGGAUGCUGACGAGUGGCGAACGGGUGAGUAAUACAUCGGAACGUGCCUAGUAGUGGGGGAUAACUACUCGAAAGAGUGGCUAAUACCGCAUGAGAUCUACGGAUGAAAGCAGGGGAUCGCAAGACCUUGUGCUACUAGAGCGGCCGAUGGCAGAUUAGGUAGUUGGUGGGAUAAAAGCUUACCAAGCCGACGAUCUGUAGCUGGUCUGAGAGGACGAUCAGCCACACUGGGACUGAGACACGGCCCAGACUCCUACGGGAGGCAGCAGUGGGGAAUUUUGGACAAUGGGCGCAAGCCUGAUCCAGCAAUGCCGCGUGCAGGAUGAAGGCCUUCGGGUUGUAAACUGCUUUUGUACGGAACGAAAAGCCCUGGGUUAAUACCCUGGGGUCAUGACGGUACCGUAAGAAUAAGCACCGGCUAACUACGUGC
rnacentral:rRNA from 1 species